GGGCCGGUGGUGGAAUUGGUAGACACGCAUGGUUUAGGUCCAUGUGCCGCAAGGUUUGAAGGUUCAAGUCCUUUCCGGCCUACCA
rnacentral:tRNA from 1 species